UUUGUUUGCAAGGAUUUGAUUUUCCGGAAAAUAUUUUCUUCAUUUUACAUACAGUGUUUGUUUGCCCGAAAAUAUUUUCCUAAUGUAAAACCAAUUACAAACACAGGAAAACAGCCCCUUAAUUUUGGAAAAUGUCUUACCGUUUCUAAUUCGGUAAGACACUUUCAGGAAAAUUAGAAGCCAACACCGAUUUUCUGCUUCCCCUUCCCCUUCCCUUUCCCCCAUUCUUGACACUUGAUCUUCUGCUUGCCGUCAGCCAACACCGAUUCUCAACACUAGACACCGGCGUUCAUCAAAGCUUUUCCCCAUGUUGUUGAAUCCAGUGAAAACCCCAACUUGAAUGAGAUGAGCAGUGAUGAAUCCAAUGACAGUUUUUACUUUGCAGAAGAUGCAAUUUUUGAGGAAGUUGAUGGUAAUACACAACCGAGGCUUCAGCUAUGAUGGUGCAAGGGAUGGAGGGUCUCAAAGAUUGAAAUAUAUAUUUUAUUCCUUUAGAGCUUUGGGUCUGCUUUCGAAGAGAUAUAGGUUCUCAAUGAAGUCUUCCAAAUGCGUAGGGUUCAUAAAAUAUCCAUAGAAGGCCGUGGAUCAAUGGUGGGCUUCAUUCAGCUUCAUUGUUUAGGAAAUUCUCCAUAUUAAUUACUUUGGAGGAAAACUGAAUGGAAACUCUGAGAUAUCAAUACAGUAGCAAAAUGAUUCUGCUUUGGAGUACAUAAAAUAUCCAUAGGAAGCUGUGGACCAGCGGUGGGCUUCAUUCAACCUCAUUGUUCAGUUUAUAACAUCGAUUUCGUAAAACUUGCAUGAAAGUCGAGCCAUACGCAGAUUCAAUACUCUACUGGAAUUGCAGUUGCAGAGUAAGGGUGAUUUUGAUAUCUUCAUCCUCACCAACAAAACAAGUUCCCACAAAAUUUCUGGUGCUAAUGUCAAGGGAGUGAAGAAGGCAUUGAUUGAUGUAAGGAAAGCAGAUGAGGAAGCAGAGUCAAGAGGGAAUAAAAGAGGAACAAGUAAGCUUUGAAUUUCUUCUACUGAAUGCUUGCAAUAUACUUGUCGUUGAACUGAGAUAUUGAGGCAGUGCUUGUUGACAACAUAUUAGCCUUGUUGAAGUCAUCCAACUUUUACAUAAUUUUGCUUCACUAAUAAGUAAGGCUAUUUGAAACCAACUAUUUCAUGAUUGUAUCAAUUUUCAGUCAGAAAUGAACUGUUAAUUUAGCAUAAAUAAAUUUUCCAUACAUAGAUUUUUAAGUAAAGAUGCAAGUAUUAAAUAUUCAAAUAUCACAUAAGAAUCCAUUUACGGAAGAUUUAUUUAUGUUGAAUUAACAGUUCAUUUCUAGCUGAUAAUCGAUGCAAUCAUGAAAUAAUUGGUCUCAAAAAGCCCUAUAAAUAAGAGAUUGUACUGCUCUCCUUGUGUCUAAGUUCUUAUCAGAUGGCAUCACAAUGGCCAAUUUCUUCCUGCCAUACAGUAACUAUUUCCUCAAGAUGGAUGUAGCGAAGAAAUAGUUGAUCUCAAACAACCUUAUAAAUAAGAGAUUGUGUUGCUCUCCUUGUAUCGAAUUUCCAUUCAAUUGGCAUCACAAUAUUUGGAUAGUUAAUACCUGCAUCUUUAAAUAAAAAUUCAUAUAUGGAAAAUAUAUUUUCUCCAAAUUAACUGCCUUUUCUGACAGAUAGUGCAUUCACUGUAUCCUAAUAUUUAAAUUCUGACAGGAAUGUGCCAAAAACACUGCCUUUUGUGACCCAAAAGGUAAGAAAAGCAUGUGUAGUAUGCAUGGUCUGUCUUUCAAGGUAACUUGUGGUGUAUGUCUAUUUCUUUUAUGCCAUGUAUGGUAUGUCUAUAAUGGUUCAUGUUACCUUCCAUAUAGUCAUAUAACACCAAAACCAUAUGUGUAUUGCAUACCAUACUUAUGAUGGUAUAAACAUAAAAUGGUAAGUCAUAAAUUAGAUAUUAACUAGCAUAGACCAACUCUAGUCUGGUUUGAACAAUCCUGUGUGCUAAUUUCAAUUUAUCUGGUCUGAGCAGGUGGGAACAUUAUUCAGUUCCCUAUCUGAGUCUCAAAAACUUAAUUUAUGCUGCACUUUGGUUUGAAAUGGACACUGAAAAUUUAUCUGUAAGGUUUAAAUCCUCUACUAACAUCCAAGGACAAAGACAUUUUACCCCCAAUUUGAUAAUAACUUUUCCUAUUAGUAAUAGUUUAUUUCUUUCAAGAAAUCAAAUAGAAAUGGCAUAAGUUUAGUUUCCAUUAUUUUAUGGUUUCAAAGAAUUAUUUAUAUACACCAUCAUUUGACACUCUAGUUGACUGAGAAUUGUUGUCUAUGGAAUUCUAUGAAUAAACUCAUGAAAAGUGUGGAAAGACAACCAGUGUUAGGAAACCGGUAGAGAGUUAAGGCAGAGAUCGACCAUAAUAUACUUAGAGAUUGAAUAAACACAGAGAAUAUGUAUUCAAGUUCUAUAUUAGUGACAUGAUUAGGUUAGAUUUUCUGCUCUUUUGCUUUCUUUGUUUAUUUUUCCUCUUAAACAAGAAAAACAAAGAAAGGGCUCGGAGCUGUGAAAGAGAAUGCUUACCAUUUUCAUGAACCAAUUAGUACCUCUUAUAUAUUGUCCAUAUACUUUAUUAAACUAAGUGAAGCUUCAUAGAAAAAUAAGUUAGCUUGACUGACCUUUUUGGAUUCAAUGUAAAAUGUUAUGAGUUUGAGCUGAUCUGCUUAAAUUUGGGACUAUUUUUCCCAUUUUUUUGCACUAGAUCCUGCAGGUGCACUAGUGCAGAAUUUCUUGAAUACUAGAUGACUUAUCUAGGAUCAUAAAGAUUGAAGCAAAAGUUUGUUUGGUUCAGAAGAAAGUAAGAACUCGAACCAUUGUAAGAUGGUUUUCGGUGAAUUAGCACCUGCCAAAGAUCUCAUUUAUAUGGAGCUGGUCGUAACGCUAAUGGACUAUUGCUUCUGUGGAUUGUGUUAACACGUCCACAUUACGAGUUCUUCUAUCCAUGUGUAAUUGUUUAGUUUAUUUCCAUAUUAAAACAAUUUAUGCGCUCUCGAUAAUUGCUUAGUUUGGUUAACCGGUUUAUGCACUAGUUUAUUACAAGUAGCAUUGUCACUUGGACAAUGCACGCUUAUGCCUAAGGCAUUGCCAUGAUGCAUUGUUUUCAACUGCAAUUUUGGAUUAAUUUUUUUGAUUCGUGAACUUGUUCAUGUGCAAUCCGGUUGUAUGAACAAUGAUUAAAAGAUUUAGAGUAAAGUGAUAUGAAA